CAAAAUGUUGAGAGCCUGAAAACCCAGUGUUCAAAUUUUCUUACAUCAAAUUUAAUGUAUGCCUGAACCUAUUAAAGUUUUGAAAAGCUCUAAGUAUUAAAUACAUUGUGAAAACCGUUUCAAAUUUUUUCAUCAAAUAAAUAAAUUAAAAUGUUACCAUGGUAUCGCCUGCGACCCAAACACUGGUUCUACUUUCUAUGCAACGAUCCCACUGCCGGAGAGUUCAUGAAGUGUAGCAUGAUCUUCAUCUGUAGCGUGCUGCUGCUGAGGCGUUUGGGGCGUAGUUUUCGCGCCCUGUCGCAAGGUAUUGAGAAGUUGUUUAGCUCUUAAGAGCAUUCUAUGCGAAAUUGUUGGUUUUUUUUUAUUUCGGCUUGCAUGUAACGAAAU